ACACCUAAUUUGUUUUUUUUAGCCCAGUAUACAUCAUCUUCUCGAAACAUGUUCGUCGAUUGAAUCUAGCCAUCUAGGUUUGAUUGAUUCAUAGAGAGAAGCGCAGAUUGUUUGUUUCUGAUUCCAUGAAUCGUUUUAUAACUCUUUUCCUCUACGUCUCCCAUAUUUACUCCGUCAAUCAAUGCCAGACCACGUUCACUACACCUCCUCCAUUCCACCUUAUAUAUAUGUUAUCUUAAGAGGAACCCAACGGCCCUCAUUCUCUCAACAAUUCUUCCUCCAAGAAAACUGUAUUUCACCUUCUCGAAAAUGAUUUCAUCAGCUGGUCCAGUUGACAAAGCCGUCUUCUGCCACUCAACGUUAAAAAAAUGGCGAGUUCAUGGGAAUCAACUUCUCUUCCUUGAUGACAGGAAUUCAGAGAUCUACGGCUUCAUCCCCGCUGGUCGUAGAUAUCAUAAAGGUUCAGUUCAUCAAUGUGUGGAACUGCGUUAUGAGAUAACUGGGUACAUCACAUACUACUAAGGAAGAUCUGGAGGCAUGACUCAGCAAGGAAAAUAUAUAAACUCUGAAAGAAGAGUUAACAGAGACUGAUACGAGAAACACUGAGUUAUACAAGGCGAAUAAAUAAUACUAUUGCCUUUCAAAUUGGUUCUAAUUCAGACUACCGUUUUACCAUGAACUUCAGUCUGCGGAGUCACUUGCAGCGGAACAGUCGAGGUGUUUCAAAUUAGAGGUUGCAGAGGUAAGACAAAAGAUUAAGACAAUGGAAACACUUGAAAAUAAACUGGAACUCCUCCACCGUCAGAGAGCCGUUGCGUCUGAACAAGCCGCCGCCAAUAUGAAUGGCAAAAGACAAAGCUCUGGUAGCGUCUGGGGAUGGCUUGCUGGAACUCUUCCGCCAAAAGCAUGAAUCCCCCAUGAAGUGAGUGGAAGUGGACAAAGCUACUCAAGAACUGAAGAGAUCAACAAUGCCUUUGCCAAUGAAGUCUCAUGGGACCGAUCUUCCACGUCUUCUACUCAAGCACCAACACAUAGACCAAGUAAAAGAACAUAUGGUGCGAUCUAAACCGUUAAUUUCCUUUGCUUAAGGUUCUGUCUCAGUCAAUGGUAUGGCUUGCAGUUGAACUGUGGUAUUCAGGUUUUACUUUUUUUUUUGUUAUUACAUUCAUGUUUAGUUUCUAGAAUGAGGGGGAAAACAAAACUGUGAAAGAGACAAAAGAGCAAGAGCGUGUUCACAAGUCAAUAAAGAUUGACACUUGCAAGAAAUUUUAUUUUUUUCAAAGAGUA